AGUGCUUUAUUGUGUGCAGCAUCUACAUUCAGCAAUUUAACGCUCUGCAAGGAGAUGCUAAAAGCCCCUGUAGAGAUACAUUGAUUCAGUGCAGCUGAGGAGAUGCUGAUUGGCGCAGCAUGUCAUUUUGCCAAGCAAUAGCCUCACAAUGCUUUCCAAGGGAAAGUAUUUCAUUGGCUGAUAUUGGCAAGACCAGGGCGCAAUGGAGAAAAAGGUAUGUAAAAUAACUUUUUUUUUUUAUAUUCUAUUCUGAGGGGGCUGGACACCUAAAUAGGUAGUCCAACACUAUAGUGUCAGGUUUUGUAUUACAGGUAGUCCUCAUUUUACAACUUAGCUGUUUAACGAUGACUCAGACUUAGGACCAGGCAUUUAAGGAAUUCCCCACGUUAGAGAGCUAGUCUAUGUUCAAGGAAACUUCCCUGACAGACCUGCAGUGUAGCGCAUCCUCCCUUA